UCCCUGGUGGCUCAGACGGUAAAGCGUCUGCCUACAUUGCAGGGGACCCGGGUUCGAUCCCUGGGUUGGGAA
rfam:Ovis aries breed Texel chromosome 12, whole genome shotgun sequence.